AUGGACAGAGAAAAGUCAAGAGUACCGACGAGAGAUAAACCAGUUCACCACACCAAAACUACUGGAUGCGCACGAUCGACGUGGUGUCAGUUGUCGCGGAUGCCACCCACUGAUACCUCACCUGCGGGGAGGAGCAGCAACGGGAGGCACGAACCAAACAGGGUGACCGCCGGCGGCAUGCCUGAACACGGCUUUCCUGGACGCGACGCCGGUCCGGAGCUCGUGCACCCCGCUCUCGUACCUGGAGCACUCCUCCACGUCGUCUCCGUCUUCAUCCAUGGCGUCGAACUCGGGCGCGAACGACUUGAGCACGUAGUAGAUGCGGCCGGGCUCCAUGCAUUGGUACUCCCUCGUCGACACGCGCCUCCCGUGGUUGAUCCCCACCAGCAGCGCCACGUCGUCGCCGAUGUCCUGCAGCUCGCGCCACCUGUCCUCGCGCUCGUCCACGGCGAACACCUUGAAGCGCCGGGUCCGCAGGGCGUUGUCGUCGGUGAAGAUGGCCACCGUGCUCACCACGAGAAGGCCGGCGCCGCCGUCGUCGCGCUCGGCGAGGUACCUGGCGCCCUCGUAGUAGGCCUGCUGCCGGAACGUCUCGGUGUGGAACUCCACGCACCGCUUGAACUCCCACGCCAUGACCGGCCCCGUCACGAGCCGCGGCUUGAGGGUGCGGCCGCCGUGCGCCGACGGCUCCCAGGCCUCGAUGGACCCGUCGCCGCGGGAGAUUGUGUAGAAGGCGCCGUCGUGGUGGAUGAUGUCCUGGUACCGCGUGGACGCCGACGUGCGCAGCGACGUCCAGCACUUGUCGCCGGGCCUCGCGAACGCCAGCCCGGAGCCGCCGCUGUGGAUCACCAUCACGGUGAAGCUCUCCCGCCGGUCUCCUCCCGAGACGGCGAGCGCGGCCUUGUGGAAGAACUCGUCACGCAUUGUCUGGAUCGGAACCGUCUCGGGAGGCGACGGCCGGGCCUUCUUGUUAGGGCCCCGGAUGUGUGA
rnacentral:rRNA from 1 species